AGGAGCGUCUGGACUGUGACGUAGAAGAAGAAGUUCAGUUCACUGGUUCGAGGCAGUUGAGCGCGAGGCGGCAGACGGAAGAAGUCUCUUUAUUUUGUGGUUGUUCAGCCUCUAAAUCCUCCAACAGGUGAGAGGAAUCCAUCUAAACUACAGCCGGCUGUGUGAGCGUGUGUGCGGACUUGUAGCAGCAGGUCGGCUCCAUCGUAGAGGAGAUAUAUAAACUGUUUAUAGGACGGCUGCUAGGCCUCACACAGACGGGUUAUUAUCACCAUGAGUUACGGUAGGCCUCCGCCAGACGUCGACGGCAUGACUUCACUCAAAGUGGACAACUUAACGUACCGCACGUCUCCGGAGACACUGCGACGGGUGUUCGAGAAGUACGGCCGGGUAGGAGACGUCUACAUCCCCCGGGACCGAUACACCAAAGAGAGCCGGGGCUUCGCGUUUGUGCGCUUCCACGACAAGAGGGACGCCGAGGACGCGAUGGACGCCAUGGACGGCGCGCUGCUAGACGGACGGGAGCUGCGAGUCCAGAUGGCGCGAUACGGCAGACCUCCUGACUCUCACUACGGGGGAAGUGGAGGAGGAGGAGGUGGUGGUGGUGGAGGUGGUGGAGGAGGAGGAGGUGGAGGAGGCCGACGAGGAGGAGGAGGAGGGACGACCAGGAGGUACGGCGGCGGUGGUGGUGGUCAUGGACGCCGGAGCAGAAGCUCUUCCCCUAGCCCGAGACACAGAAGACGCAGCAGGUCUCGCAGCAGGAGCCGCUCUCGUUCCCGAAGCCGAUCCCGCUACAGCAGAUCCCGUUCCAGGUCCUACUCCCGAUCCAAGUCUCACUCUCCCAGGAACAAGAAGGUCAAGGCCAAGUCCCCGUCUCGUUCCAGAUCUAGAUCCAGGUCCCGGUCCAAGUCCAAGUCCAAGUCCAAAUCCAAAUCCAAAUCCAAAUCCAAGUCCAAGUCCAGAAGCCGCACCCCUUCCAGAGGGUCCAGGUCAAGAUCUAAAAGCCAGCCCAAGUCAGCAGCAGAAAAUGGAGGCGAAACCCCGUAGAGCUCAGCAUCAGCUGCGGCAUCCUGUUUGCUAAAGUGGAGUUUGAGCUGAGCUGAGGCAGUAUGAGCAGGUAGAAGGUAUGUGGUGAGCUGCCCACGGGCCGCCUGCUGCUGCUGGUGAGGGUUUCUGUGCAGCAGGGUGGAGGCAGUCAGAGUUGGGGUUUGGUGUUGAGUUUUCAGGUGAAGACUGAAAGCUUCAAGUCAAGACUGGAUCCAACGCGAGCAACAGUGUCCUGCUGUAAAAGGUUAUUAUUGUGUCUUCCAUGCUUUCAUUUGUUUUAUUCAUUUGGCCACAACAAAAGUCUUUGUCUCUUCAUUGAUGUGAUUUUGAUUUUAUUUUCAUAAUGUUUUUUAAAUUCUGGUUCGAUGCUGAAUAUUUCGUUCUGACCUGGUUUUCUAAUGAUGACACAGGAUAAUAAUACACAAGUUAUUAAGUUUGUACCAGUUGCUCCUCUGCUUUACGUCCUUCUAUGGGCCUGUAUCAAGAAGCGAGUACGUAGUCCAUCUUUCUUUGGCUUUCCUGGCUUUGUUAAAACCUCGCAUUUAUCCCGGAUUACCUGUGGCACAAAUUUGGUCACCAGCUGACUCAAAGGUGCGUUUACACCAAAGAGACUGACUUCAUAAUUACUAAUUAAUUAAGUAUCACAUGCAACAGAUUGAAAGUGGAUUGUUUAAUUAUACUCGUGACAAAAAGCAGUUUUUAUUGAGGUAAAAUAUGUACAAUAAUCCCUAGAUUAACUUUUUGGUAUAACUAAAACGGACAUUUUUGGUUUAGUUUAAAGUUUAAAAAAACAAUUCUCCAAAUAGUUACUUAUUUUCUUUUCUUACGAUGGCUAAUCAAUUAAAUAAUUUCAGCUCUAAACAUUUCACUGAGGUCUUGUUGAUACGUCUCACUUUAUGGUAAAUGUAGUGCUUUCGUCCAUGUCGAUCCUGUGGAAAUGUAAAUUUAUUUUGCGUUAAUAACCAUGGUGAUCUAUUGUGGUGAGUGGGCCAGUUUUGUGAUACGGGAAAGUCUGAGUUAAUUUUAUCUGGCGUUAAUCUGUCUUCGUGACACAGGCCCAUGGUGUCAAAUCAACAGUCGGGAUAGUUGGAUACAUCUGAAGAAGCCAUUUUAUUUCUUUCUUUCUUCAAAACGACAUAACCCACACCAACCUUUAAACUUUGUUUAUAUUGUUGUUUUCAUAUCGGUUCAAACAUUUCAUUAAACUGAAGUUAUCCCUCAAAAACCGUAAUGAAGUUACCGGCUUCUUUACGAUGUUUAAUUCCUGCAGCUCAGGGUGUCUUCGUUUGACAGGACAGCAGAUCAUUUUAACUCCUUGAUAAAUGUGUUCAGUGUUAUUGCAUAUACAUUAUAAAGUGACUGGGGUGACGUAAAGUCAAUCAGAUUGUUUCGGGUCAUCACAGAUUUUAAGGUAUCAGCUCAUCUCCUUAAAUCUUUAGUUGAAUCUUACAGGACAUAAUUUACUGGACUCUAGAUACAGUGUCUUUUUCUUUUUAAUUUUUGAUCCUAAUCCUGCUUGUAUGUUUGUUUUGUGCACUAGGCGCAGUUGUGUAGCAGUUCAGUAUUGCUGGUUAGCUGUUAGCUGGUGGCGUGUUGCUCUGCUGAGUGCUUGGAUGUAUCCAGUAUUCUCCAGAAUGCUCCUGUGACUACCAGUGGGGCGCUCGCUGCAGUCUCACCCUUUGUAAGAUGAAAUGUUUUCUCCCAUAUGGUCACUGAUGACAAAUGUGACUUUCAUUAAAGAUUUGGUGUUUUGUCUAAAAA